rnacentral:rRNA from 1 species
GACGAACGCUGGCGGCGUGCCUAAUACAUGCAAGUCGAACGCUUCUUUCCUCCCGAGUGCUUGCACUCAAUUGGAAAGAGGAGUGGCGGACGGGUGAGUAACACGUGGGUAACCUACCCAUCAGAGGGGGAUAACACUUGGAAACAGGUGCUAAUACCGCAUAACAGUUUAUGCCGCAUGGCAUAAGAGUGAAAGGCGCUUUCGGGUGUCGCUGAUGGAUGGACCCGCGGUGCAUUAGCUAGUUGGUGAGGUAACGGCUCACCAAGGCCACGAUGCAUAGCCGACAUGAGAGGGUGAUCGGCCACACUGGGACUGAGACACGGCCCAGACUCCUACGGGAGUCAGCAGUAGGGAAUCUUCGGCAAUGGACGGAAGUCUGACCGAGCAACGCCGCGUGAGUGAAGAAGGUUUUCGGAUCGUAAAACUCUGUUGUUAGAGAAGAACAAGGACGUUAGUAACUGAACGUCCCCUGACGGUGUCUAACCAGAAAGCCACGGCUAACUACGUGCCAGCCGCCGCAGUAA